UACGUAGGGUGCAAGCGUUGUCCGGAAUUAUUGGGCGUAAAGAGCUCGUAGGCGGUCUGUCGCGUCGGCUGUGAAAAACUCGGGGGCUCAACUCCGAGCUUGCAGUCGAUACGGGGCAGGCUAGAGUUCGGCAGGGGGAGACUGGAAUUCCUGGUGUAGCGGUGAAAUGCGCAGAUAUCAGGAGGAACACCGGUGGCGAAGGCGGUUCUCUGGGCAUGUCCUGACGUGAGGAGCGAAAGCGUGGGUAGCAAACAGG
rnacentral:rRNA from 1 species